rnacentral:lncRNA from 1 species
GUCAGCACCGUCUAAAAUCCACAGCCAGCUGUAAAAUCUCUGAGAGCAAGGAGGCAGCCCUUCCCAGGGAACUGGAGUGGAGAACCCAGAAGGGAUACAGGACUAGGUGGGCAGUGCGGCCGCCCCUUGGGCUGCACAGUCCUGCAGGACCAACAUUCCUAGGCCCUCUGGAUUCUGUGGAGUUUCUGUCACUUCCUUGCAGAGUGGGGGCCGGGGAGGCCGUCAUGUGGGAUGUGGGGGCGCAGGCCCAGGCACGGCAGGCAGGCCCACCCCCUUCCCUCCCAGCAGCUUCUGGGUGCCACCUCCCGGGCCUUUCCUCAGGCGGAUGUUGGAACCCGAGUCAGGGAGACUGUAGGUGGUCUGCUUGUUCUCCAGCUCCAGCAGAGGGGAUGGCGGGGUCUGCAUGUUGUUGUCUGCUGCAGACAGGCCCAGAUGCCAUCUGCACCCCGUGGGGCAGCUCUGCAGGAUCGUGGUGCAGGAGCUGUGGGAGCCCAACCCCCUGGCCCCCCCAGUCUGGAAUAAGAUGCACUGCGGGAUGGAGCUCCUCAGCCGCAGAGUGAGCGCUGAUGGCAGAGCAUGCUCGUCUAUUCGCCCGUGUGCUGGCUCCUUCUUCUAGGAGCUGUUCGGCCAUAGCUGCUGACUGCCUCUGCCAGGUCAGCUCCAGGCUUGGGUGGCAGUCCUGACACGGCUGGGGCGGAGGGGCCGGGACGUGGGCGGGAAUGAGAGGGAACCUGCCUGGGAAGGCUGGGGAGGACCGUCCAGGCCCUGUGGUCAUUUGUGGAGGAAGCGAGUGGCAGGGCCUGCUUGGGUGGAUUGUGAGCCUGGAGGCCUCUAUGCAGGCCAGCACAGACAGCCUCGGGCAGGAGACUCCCAGCCGCACACAGGCUCCUGGUCCUCCAGCUCGGUGCCCGCCCUCCUGGGACCUUGCUAGAAGGCAGAACGUGCUGUCAGUGCCACGUCAGACCCAGCUCCCAAAGCCCCCCCACCUCAGAUCCUGAUGCUGGCCCACGAGGAGCUCCCAUUUCUGGGUCUGGAUUUUCAGAACCCCCCCAACAAACCACUCUGCUGCUAGGUUGGAGCCCUGAGGGCAGCCGAAAGCCAGGAGGAGGCGGCAGGGCCCACGGCACCUCUCAUCAGCGCCCUCAUGCCCUGGAAGCAGGGGCUCUGGCCAGCUGGGGCACACAACCUCAGGACCUGGCCGUGGCGGUCAUUCGCUGUCGGGCCGACAGAGGGUGCCGUUGGACAGGGCUGUGACGGCUCUCUGAGCUCCCAGCAAAGCUGUCUCCUGCUUGGGACUCAGCGUGGGGGAGGAGCCGGCCGCUCUGCUGUGAGAGAAGGGAACGGGUUGCAAGGGAGACCUACGAGGUGGAGGAACAGCGUGGGGGAUGGCAGGGGGCAAAGUGACGUCCAGUUUCCGCAUCUUCUCAGGACUGGUGGGUGUGCCUCAGGGGCCUGAUGCACGGAGGGCAAGAACCCUUUCACCAUCCCGUCUGUCCCCAGCCUGGGUCACCACGGCGCGUCCUUCCCCCGGGUGCGUAGCGUGUCCUGCCUCCCCCUUAAAGGACAAGGGGCAGAAUCCUGGCCCAGGGCAGAGCUCCAGGCUCUCCUCGCCGCCCCUCCCCAUGGUCCAGCACGCCCCCAUGCCCUUCCCCUCAAAGACCACAGGGCCCAGCAGGGCAGGGCCGGGCUGCAGUGUGGACAGACGG